rnacentral:rRNA from 1 species
GUAGGGAAUAUUGGACAAUGGGCGCAAGCCUGAUCCAGCCAUGCCGCGUGAGUGAUGAAGGCCUUAGGGUUGUAAAGCUCUUUCAGUGGGGACGAUAAUGACGGUACCCACAGAAGAAGCCCCGGCUAACUUCGUGCCAGCAGCCGCGGUAAUACGAAGGGGGCUAGCGUUGUUCGGAUUUACUGGGCGUAAAGCGCACGUAGGCGGAUCGUUAAGUCGGGGGUGAAAUCCUGGAGCUCAACUCCAGAACUGCCUUCGAUACUGGCGAUCUUGAGUCAGGAAGAGGUGAGUGGAACUCCUAGUGUAGAGGUGGAAGUCGUAGAUAUUAGGAAGAACACCAGUGGCGAAGGCGGCUCACUGGUCCGGUACUGACGCUGAGGUGCGAAAGCGUGGGGAGCAAACAGGAUUAGAUACCCCGGUAGUCC